UGGAAACCUCUUCCUAACAAACGUGUUUUAAAACCGUUAGGCUGAGAGUGAUAUGUAACCGGUCAAAAUAGACAAUAUCUGCUAUUCUGAGUACCUUUGUUAGAUCAUUUUUCUGCUCAUCCUUGAAUGAAGUUAACUUUGGUUUCUCUCAUUGUGAAAGCAAACUUACAGCUUCCAGGAUGAAGCUGCUGACCAUUUCCGCUCGUGAUCGAUCUUUUCAGCUGCCAGUUUGCCGUGCAUAUUUUAAGCUUGUCGACUGACGUUUACACGUCGCGUAGUACUUGCACAACUCGUCCUUCUUCAAGAGGUCUUAUGUUCGAACCCGAGAGCAUCGUGAUUCAAAUUACUAUCUUAAGUCCACACAUAAAGGAGAGGUUAAAGAUACAUUUAUAAGAUCUUGGUUUUGUUUGGUUGCUUCUGCAAAUUUGUACUUCUAACAUUAUAUCCAAACAACCAUUGAACUUGUUCAUGAAUUUGAAGCCUGCUGCAAGCUCAAGUUUCUCAUUUGGUUCAUAUGGGGUCGGAUUCGGAUAUGCAUUCUACGGAGUCGAAGAGGAAGUUCGAGGUCGUAAUAAGGUUUAGGGUAGAUUGUAUUUACGAGGGGUAACGGAGUAUUCGUUAUCUUUGGCUGGACGUAAACUCGAAAACUUGAUUAAAGUUUGCAUUAUUUGAUC